UACGGAGGAUUCAAGCGUUAUCCGGAUUUAUUGGGUUUAAAGGGUGCGUAGGCUGUCGGAUAAGUUAGAGGUCAAAUGUCGGGGCUUAACCCCGUGCCUGCCUCUGAUACUGUUCGACUGGAGAGCGGAUGCAGCAGGCGGAAUGAGUAGUGUAGCGGUGAAAUGCUUAGAUAUUACUCAGAACCCCGAUUGCGAAGGCAGCAUACCGGCGCCCGACUGACGCUGAGGCACGAAAGUGCGGGUAUCGAACAGG
rnacentral:rRNA from 1 species